GUCGGGAUUCGGAGAGGUCCCUCCCCGCAGGAACCCCACCCCUUCCCACCUCCUCGCCCCACUCCUUUCUCCGCGACCGUCAGUCUCUCCAUUUCCCCCUGCUGGUCUUGUCCUCCCUCCCGCCUCUCGCGCUCUCCCUCCCCUCGCUUUCAUCCUCCUCUCCCCACCUCUCCAACCUCCGCUUUCAUCCCCCUCCCCUCUCCUCUCCUCCCCGCUCCCGCCUGCCCCACCCCUGGGAAGCCCCUCCCGUCGGGCAGCGCCGCCUUUAUAAGCGGGUUCCCUGCCCGGGGGCGGCAGCGGCUGGUCGGCGGCAGCUCUGCUGGUGCGGGGGCGGCGAGCCGAGGACCGAGUGACCGCGGCCGGAGCGUGCCGGCCACCGCCCGCACCGCCCUUCCGCCCGCCCUCCGGACGGCCGCAGCCCUGCGGGUCUCCGCUCCAGACCCACCCCCGCCCCACCCCGCGCGCCUCUGCCGCCUCUUCCAGAGACCCAGCUUGCUGAGCGGCCGCCGCUGCCGCUGCCGCCGCCGCCGCCGCCACCGCGCCAGGUUCCGGCCGCUCCGGACGGCCGCAGCCCUGCGGGUCUCCGCUCCAGACCCACCCCCGCCCCACCCCGCGCGCCUCUGCCGCCUUUUCCAGAGACCCAGCUUGCUGAGCGGCCGCCGCUGCCGCUGCCGCCGCCGCCGCCGCCACCGCGCCAGGUUCCGGCCGCGGCCACCCUCCGCCGUCCAGGGCCCCUCCGUCCCGGCCGCGGGACCCCGGCUCUCCGCCAGCCCCGGCCCCGGCACCAUGUCGGAGAAGGGCCCGCGCUGAAGAGAGCUGCUGAAGAGGAGGAUGAAGCGGAUCCCAAGCGGCAGAAGACAGAAAAUGGGGCAUCGGCAUGAGCCCCCUGCCAGUGGGCUGGGGGUGGGAGGCCCCUCAGGGCCUGGAGGUGGGGUGGGAACAGACAGUGCAGCCACUCUUCACCUGGCUCCUUGCUCUGGGCCCCGCACCAGAGCUGCCACCCUCUUUCUCCCCAGCCUUCUCAUGUCUGCCUCUCCAGACACUGCCCCUCCCUCCAUCCUCACUCUGCCAUUGUUCCACCUCCUGACCUGCUCCAUCUGAGCUUCCCAGCUGGUCCCCAAUGGCUCCUUUCCCCUUCCUUGCUCUCUUCCUCCCUCCUCCAACCAAUCCAACCCCUCCUGCGGUAGCCUUUCCUUCCUCACCUCUGCAUCCCAGCCUCAUGUCCUGCCCAUCCCAACCCCGCCUGAUCCCUGGGUCUCCCUCAGAUCCCCUUCUCUCAGACAGCGCCAGGCCGGGGUGGGGCCAGGGUUGGGGCCGAGCCCCACAGCUGCCCCCCUCCCCUCCCCUUUUUGUAUAAUUUAAUAAAGAAACGGUCGCGCUUCUGUUUUUAACCUGU
rnacentral:lncRNA from 1 species